rnacentral:rRNA from 1 species
GCUUAACCGGAGAAGUGCAUCGGAAACUGGGAGACUUGAGUGCAGAAGAGGACAGUGGAACUCCAUGUGUAGCGGUGGAAUGCGUAGAUAUAUGGAAGAACACCAGUGGCGAAGGCGGCUGUCUAGUCUGUAACUGACGCUGAGGCUCGAAAGCAUGGGUAGCGAACAGGAUAAGAUACCCUGGUAGUCCAUGCCGUAAACGAUGAGUGCUAAGUGUUGGAGGGUUUCCGCCCUUCAGUGCUGCAGCUAACGCAUUAAGCACUCCGCCUGGGGAGUACGACCGCAAGGUUGAAACUCAAAGGAAUUGACGGGGGCCCGCACAAGCGGUGGAGCAUGUGGUUUAAUUCGAAGCUACGCGAAGAACCUUACCAGGUCUUGACAUCUUCUGCCAAUCUUAGAGAUAAGACGUUCCCUUCGGGGACAGAAUGACAGGUGGUGCAUGGUUGUCGUCAGCUCGUGUCGCGAGAUGUUGGGUUAAGUCCCGCAACGAGCGCAACCCUUAUUAUCAGUUGCCAGCAUUCAGUUGGGCACUCUGGUGAGACUGCCGGUGACAAACCGGAGGAAGGUGGGGAUGACGUCAAAUCAUCAUGCCCCUUAUGACCUGGGCUACACACGUGCUACAAUGGACGGUACAACG